rnacentral:misc_RNA from 1 species
GAGAUUAGCAAUUUUAAAGGCUGCCCAUUUCUUUUUGGGGGUUUUAUAAUCUUCGAUCAUGAGUCCAAGGAGUGAUCUUUAGACUCGAUAAAAUCACCUCUUUUGUGCUCCUUUUCAAUAUGUGAAGCGGAUUACGAAGUGGGUUGGUCUUUAAAAGGAUAUAUUUCGAGUUAUUAGCUAUUGCUUUUGAAUUUUUAUAAGGAGCAUAGUUUCAUGGCUGGGAGUAAUGAGGUUAACCUCAAUGAAAGCAAGAGGGUGGUUCCACUGAAUACAUGGGUACUCAUAUCCAAUUUCAAGCUGGCUUACAA